rnacentral:rRNA from 1 species
UACGUAGGGGGCAAGCGUUGUCCGGAAUCAUUGGGCGUAAAGCGCGUGUAGGCGGCUCGAUAAGUCUGCUGUGAAAGUUCAGGGCUCAACCCUGAAAUGCCGGUGGAAACUGUCGAGCUAGAGUCCGGAAGAGGCGAGUGGAAUUCCUGGUGUAGCGGUGAAAUGCGCAGAUAUCAGGAGGAACACCAGUGGCGAAAGCGGCUUCCUGGUCCGACACCGACGUUCAGGCACGAAAGCGUGGGGAGCAAACAGG